GUAACGAUGAGUUUGAUCGUGGCUCAGGACGAACGCUGGCGGCGUGCUUAACACAUGCAAGUCGAACGAUGAACUGGAGCUUGCUCCAGGGAUUAGUGGCGAACGGGUGAGUAACACGUGAGUAACCUGCCCUUGACUCUGGGAUAAGCGCUGGAAACGGCGUCUAAUACCGGAUACGAGCUUCAGCCGCAUGGCUAGGAGUUGGAAAGAAUUUCGGUCAAGGAUGGACUCGCGGCCUAUCAGCUAGUUGGUGAGGUAAUGGCUCACCAAGGCGACGACGGGUAGCCGGCCUGAGAGGGUGACCGGCCACACUGGGACUGAGACACGGCCCAGACUCCUACGGGAGGCAGCAGUGGGGAAUAUUGCACAAUGGGCGAAAGCCUGAUGCAGCAACGCC
rnacentral:rRNA from 1 species